AAUUGGUAUUAAAAGGUUGGAGGAAGACGAGCUAUGCAUCAGGAGUCUUACAGUAGGAAAGGAGACCACUUGGAGACACAUAGGACAGAUGACCCGCAAAUCCCACAUGAAGCAAGGAGAUUAAUAACAGAGAUUGUACUUUGCAGAGGAUGGAAGUGUCAAAGUGUUCUGACUUGCCUAAAUCAAGCAAAAGUUUCUGCAUCUACAAAACCAAGCAAGCCCCAACCAUGUUUACAUUCUUUUCUGCAUAUUUCUUUGCCCAGCAGCACCUCAGCACUGAAGAGUGUUCAAGAGUAAACAUCAUUCUUUAUAUAGACUCCAAGAAGAGGUAACCCAAGCAAAUAUCAUGCGACUAGAAG
ensembl:lincRNA